GAGAUCGAAGAGAUACAAUGCCUGGUUCACCCUCAUGGCUUGAAUUGGUGAUUGCUUGCGAUAAAGCGGGAUUGGACUUGGCAAGUCGGCAUAGUGUUUGGCCACAAAUGACCAUAUCGAAGCUUUACGACAUUUGGGGAGCUACAUGCAUUGAAUUGGAAGUGGACAUGCUGACCGGGGAGAAAACCGUCCGUCGAGCAGACGUGUAUGGAGGACACAGGGGCUUCAAUUAGCCCCAAUGUGGAUAUUGGUCAAGUGGAAGGCGCCUUCGUUAUUGGACUUGGACUUUGGCUCUCGGAAAGAAUUGCGUUUCAAUCCAACAAGUGGCAGGCUUUUGACCCGAGAUUCUUGGGAGUACAAGCCACCUGCUAGCCAAGACAUUCCUGAGGUAUUCAACACCUACCUCUACAACAGUAAUGACAUCCUUUCGGGGUUUUGGGUUCCAAAGCUACUGGAGAACCUCCUCUUCUAAUGGCGAUGUCCGCAUUUUUGGGCUCUCAGGGAUGCCAUAACCGAUUGUCGCG